rnacentral:tRNA from 1 species
GUGAAUAUAGUUUAAUAAAAACGCUAGAUUGUGAUUCUAGUAAUAAGAGUUAAAAUCCCUUUACUCACC